UGCAAGUCGAGCGAACAGAUAGGAGCUUGCUCCUUUGACGUUAGCGGCGGACGGGUGAGUAACACGUGGGUAACCUACCUAUAAGACUGGGAUAACUUCGGGAAACCGGAGCUAAUACCGGAUAAUAUUUCGAACCGCAUGGUUCGAUAGUGAAAGAUGGUUUUGCUAUCACUUAUAGAUGGACCCGCGCCGUAUUAGCUAGUUGGUAAGGUAACGGCUUACCAAGGCGACGAUACGUAGCCGACCUGAGAGGGUGAUCGGCCACACUGGAACUGAGACACGGUCCAGACUCCUACGGGAGGCAGCAGUAGGGAAUCUUCCGCAAUGGGCGAAAGCCUGACGGAGCAACGCCGCGUGAGUGAUGAAGGUCUUCGGAUCGUAAAACUCUGUUAUUAGGGAAGAACAUACGUGUAAGUAACUAUGCACGUCUUGACGGUACCUAAUCAGAAAGCCACGGCUAACUACGUGCCAGCAGCCGCGGUAAUACGUAGGUGGCAAGCGUUAUCCGGAAUUAUUGGGCGUAAAGCGCGCGUAGGCGGUUUUUUAAGUCUGAUGUGAAAGCCCACGGCUCAACCGUGGAGGGUCAUUGGAAACUGGAAAACUUGAGUGCAGAAGAGGAAAGUGGAAUUCCAUGUGUAGCGGUGAAAUGCGCAGAGAUAUGGAGGAACACCAGUGGCGAAGGCGACUUUCUGGUCUGUAACUGACGCUGAUGUGCGAAAGCGUGGGGAUCAAACAGGAUUAGAUA
rnacentral:rRNA from 1 species